UAUGUGAUCGUCUCUCGCAUAUCAAUAAGCGGAGGAAAAGAAACUAACAAGGAUUCCCCUAGUAACGGCGAGUGAAGCGGGAAGAGCUCAAAUUUGAAAUCUUAAAGGGUUUCCCUUUACGAAUUGUAGUUUAAAGAAGUGUUUUCUGUUGAGGUUUUGGUAAAAGUUCUUUGGAAUAGGACAUCAUAGAGGGUGAGAAUCCCGUAUUUGACCUUUACUUUCAACUUUGUGAUACACUUUCAAAGAGUCGGAUUGUUUGGGAAUGCAAUCCAAAAUGGGUGGUAAAUUUCAUCUAAAGCUAAAUAUUGGCGAGAGACCGAUAGCGAACAAGUACCGUGAGGGAAAGAUGAAAAGAACUUUGAAAAGAGAGUUAAACAGUACGUGAAAUUGUCAAAAGGGAAGCGUUUGACACCAGUGUUGUUUUUCUGAAAAUCAAUUAAAGAACUGUUUAUGCUAAGUUGUUUAGACUUUAUCAGCUAACUGUUUAGUUUUGAGCUUUUCUUUAAUGCACUUUUCAGUUAACAAGUCAACAUCAAUUUCUUUUGCUGUAAAAAAGCUUGAGGAAGGUGGCUUGAGAUUCGUCUUAAGUGUUUAUAGCCUCUUGCCUAUGCAGUCGGAGAGAUUGAGGUCUGCAGCGUAGAUCCUUCGGGGCUAAAUGCAUUUGUGCUAAGUUAUAGCAUUUUUUAUAGACAACUUGUUGACUAUGAUUUGUCUUGUAGCUUACUCGCUUAUGUUAUUUUACCUACGCUUAGGAUGUUGAAGUCAUCGUAUCGCGC
rnacentral:rRNA from 1 species